rnacentral:rRNA from 1 species
UGCAAGUCGAGCGGAAACGAGUUAUCUGAACCUUCGGGGAACGAUAACGGCGUCGAGCGGCGGACGGGUGAGUAAUGCCUAGGAAAUUGCCCUGAUGUGGGGGAUAACCAUUGGAAACGAUGGCUAAUACCGCAUAAUGCCUACGGGCCAAAGAGGGGGACCUUCGGGCCUCUCGCGUCAGGAUAUGCCUAGGUGGGAUUAGCUAGUUGGUGAGGUAAUGGCUCACCAAGGCGACGAUCCCUAGCUGGUCUGAGAGGAUGAUCAGCCACACUGGAACUGAGACACGGUCCAGACUCCUACGGGAGGCAGCAGUGGGGAAUAUUGCACAAUGGGCGCAAGCCUGAUGCAGCCAUGCCGCGUGUGUGAAGAAGGCCUUCGGGUUGUAAAGCACUUUCAGUCGU